rnacentral:rRNA from 1 species
CCCUUAGAUGUUCUGGGCCGCACGCGCGCUACACUGACUGCUCCAACAAGUUACCUGGGCUGACAAGCAUCCGGGAAAUCUUGCAAAGGCAGUCGUGAUGGGGAUAGAUUCUUGUAAUUUUUGAUCUUCAACGAGGAAUUCCUAGUAAACGCAAGUCAUCAGCUUGCAUUGAUUACGUCCCUGCCCUUUGUACACACCGCCCGUCGCAUCUACCGAUUGAAUGGAGAGGCAAAAUCUUCGGACCGUGACGCUUGGGAGUCAAAUCUCGGGCUGUCGUGGGAAGUGGAUUAAGCCUUUCUAUUUAGAGGAAGGUAAAGUCGUAACA